rnacentral:lncRNA from 1 species
GUCCUCGAUCGGAGAAGGAACUCACGAAAGAGACAGUCACGGUUAUACACACAGUUGGCAUGUUUUAGUUAAGUUAACUUCAAGUUAUCUAGAACCAGUGUUAAACAAAGCUUCCACGUUGCCACAUAACCGCGGGCACGGCUUUCCGAAAGAUUUAACCCUGCAGGGGUGCUCCAACUAGUCCAUCACAAAUUACCACAAGCCGCAUAGAAAUCCUCAAUCACGAAGCUCGCGAUCUCGUCGGAUUCCCUAGAGGAAAACCUCAACUCUGAGAUUACCCAAAGCAUCACCGGAAUCCCGAUGCACAAGAUAUUUCGUCAAAGGUAAAACUAAUCCAGCAAGGCCGCCCGACGUGUCGACGAUCCCGAUAGGAGUCGCGUACCUCGUUCUCAGGACACGACGGAUGAGCGAUGGUUACCACGCCAAACGCCGAGUUAAUAAGCUGCUCUGUUUUGGACCAACACUCAUGAGGAGCACUGGCCCGGGGGUUGAUUAAAUUAUCCUCGGGGUCCGGAAAGUCCCUAUGCAAUUUUAUUAGGUGAUUAGGCAAAUGUAGUACCAAUGUUGGGCCUUGCCAGACCAGCUUUAAUCUAAAACGAAUUAUCAAGGGGGUCCCCAUAACGACCCCGAUCGUGUUAGGAGCGCUCAUUUAUGGAACAUAACACCGGUAGCCGGUAACUAAAAGGGGCAAAGGUGGAACAAAACACCAGGCUAGAAAGGCCGAGCCUUCCACCUUUUACCAAGUAUAUAGGUGCAUUAAAUUAAAUAUCAUUUAAUAUGGUGAUAUAACAAGGAACCCAUGUCCUCACAUGGAAGCAACUGCACCUGCAACUAGCAACGCUAACAACAGGGUUAAGCAAGCAGUAACAUAGCCAAACAGUGGUUUGCUAGGUUGAACAGAUUGAGGGUUAACAUGGCAUUGUUGAGAGGCUGAUAUUUAACAUGUGGUAGGCAACGAGACAUAAUCGAUAGAAGCGAUACUACUAGCAUGGCAAUGAUUGUAAUGGUAUCUGGGGAAAUGAUCAUCUUGCCUGAGAUCCCGCUUGGAAGAAGAAUGCCUCCGAGAAGCAGACGAACCGACGUAGUCGAACGGGUCCUCACAUCCGACACGCUUGCGGACUCUAUCGAGACGGGGAAAACCAGAAACAGGAAUCAACACACGAAAUUCACCACACGAUGCACAACACAUAUGAUGCAUGAGCUACCGAAUACAUGCAAGUCACGGCAUGACAAAUCACACAAUCAAACUCUACACAUUAAGUGAAGUUCAAUAUGCAACGAGUUGCAUAUUGACGAAACUUCACGUUAAUUAUUUAGUUCACUCCCGGUUAUUUACGCGGCAAUAUUAAAUGUGGUUAAACAUGGCAGAGGUGAAGCGGAAAUUAAACUACCUAUCUAGGCAUUUUAAGUGAGGUCGGAAAUGACAUAUAGCAUCUCCGAGACGACCUCACAUGUUAAUUAACGAUUCUGUCCAGAUUUGAACUAAUGCAUUUAAUUAGUUGUUAAACAGCAAAACGAAUAGGUUCACGUGAUUCUACACGUCAUUUCAAGCAAUCUACACAUAGAAAACAUCUCCAACGGAGCUACGGAACAAAAGAUACAAGCACCGCAAGAUAUGAUGGCAUGAAUGCAAAAUGUGUGCAACGGCGGCUAGGAGCACAUCAACACAAACAACCAGAAAGAUAAAAUGAAACUACACGAGAUUCUAAACAAGUCUCGUGUAGGACACGAUCUAAACGGAGCUACGGUUCGAAAACGACGAGCAAAACAAGAAAACUCUACAAUCUGCCAAAAUCAGCCACAUAGCGUAUUCAACGCCUCACAACUUCGGCUACCCAACUCCGAUAAGCUCAAGCAAGGCAUGUCACGAAAGAGGGCAAGAAGCACUACUACAAACAACUAACAACAACUAGCAUGGCAGCAAGGAGCACUAGGAAAAGAAGACACAAAAUGGCAUCUCACACACUAUUUCAGACUUAGUGAAAAUAACGCCUCCUGAAAGUGCAGUUUUCAGCCUGAAGGCAUAUUGACAGCAGCAAAACCUAUAGCUACAGGACUCCAAAUGGUAUGAAACUUAACAGCAUGCUAGAGAAACAUAAGGGGUACAAAUAACUCCAUUGGACCAACCCCAAAAGAGCUACAGAUCACAAGAUGCAAGCAAGACAAGACAGCAACAAAAUAUAACAGAUCUCAGACUUAGAAAUAUUUCAGCUGCUCUAAAACAGCACUAUUCAAGCAACUUGAGAGCAAGCAAACAACACCUAAACAUGCAUUUCUAUUGCAACCAAAAUUACCAGGGGCUAAACAAAACAUCCAAGAUCAACUCACUAGUUGACAACUAAUUCAAACGAGGCCCGGAAUAAAACUUACGGGUUAAACAAAAGGGCUUCACGUCAAAAUAACUCGCAAACUAACUUCCUCAAAAGCUAAAACUAAUUGCACAGAAAAAUCCAUGAGAUUUUUCUACCCCGGAAACAUAUAUAAUAUGUGGGGUUUGCAACACAAAAUAACGCUACACAAUAAUGCGAGAUAAUACCUCUAAACCGGAAAACAAACUACCGGCAAAACCCUUCACGGAAAAAUACGAGUGACCGCUCUAAAAUACGUAGAAAUAUGGUCCCUAAAACAUGGACAUAAACUCUAUGGCAUACGGGCAAUCCGGAUACGCACGGAAAUUAACUACGGAAUGGAUCCUAGCUAAUCAGCAUGUAAAACGAGGCAUUAGGCACUCUAAACAGCGUUAAACAAAUAUGCAAGUUGGAUAAACGUGUUCUACUCGCGAAGCUACCCCAAAACGAUAUAUAACACGCGUCGUUCCGACUUACGGGUAAAAGAUACGGGCAAAAGAAAAUAUCCUAUUUUUCUGAAAUUAUUAAGUCGCAGAAAAAUCCUUAAAUGCUAAUCGGGCCAAAACUGCUGGGCGCAUCUCACUAUACCGCGCCUGGGGAGAAAAAUAGGGUGGCAAGGAGGGUUAUCACCUCGGGCUGGCCCGGUUGAGGAGGCAGAGGAGGCCUGGGCCGCGUGGAGGGAAGCUGGGCCGAGCUGGGCCGGCUCGGGGCCCAGGCGCUGGCGGGGUGGCUCGGGCGAGGUCGUCCUCCUGGCCGAGCGCGUGAGCCACGGCGGUGGCCGGCGGCGGCUCCAGGCGGGUCGGCCCGGCGGGGUAGAAGAGGGGAAAUGGUGGGGGCCGGCCGGAUCUGGAGGGUUCCGGGCACGGGAGCCCCAGUCCCGGCGGCGGCGGCGAGCUCCGGACGGAGGACGGCACAAAUAUGGCAGAGGGCGGCGGUGCCGGUCACAGGCGGCGGCGGGAGGCGACGCAGGGCGAUGGCGGCGGCGGGGCACGGGAGCAGGAGACCGGCGCGGCCACGCAGGCGGCGGCGGCUCGCGGCGGCGCUAGCUCCGGCGAGUUGCCGGCGGCGGAGAGGCGAGGCCUGCUGCAGCUAGCGGUCACGGGCAGGGCGCCAUGGGAGGGGGUUCGGACCUCUGGCGGCGGCUGCGGGAUCCGGAGCGCGGGAGGCGGCGGCUGGAGGCCUGGCGGGCCAGCCAUGGGCUCGCGGGCCCGGCGGCGCGAGGAGGAGGGAGACAGGGAGCAGGUGGGGCGGCUAGGGUUCGGGAUGGCGCGGAUCCCGAGGUGGCUAGGGUUAGCCAUAUUAGGCAGGUUAGGGCGUCUAUUUAUAGGAUGGGGCUAGGUUAGGGGGGGUAUUUGGGGGUUUUUCGACCCUCCAGACGCGUUCGCGCGGUCCGAUCGGAGAGGCGGGGUGGGGGGCGCGUUCGCGCGGUCCGAUCGGAGAGGCGGGUUAGGGUUAGGUGUGUGGAGUGGCGUUGGCUAAGAUGAGAGGGAAGUGGUGCUGCGCGGCAUCGACUUUUAAAACACCGACAGAUGUCCGACGAUUAACCGAAGACGGUGCCGCUACGGUUGACCGUUCGGGUACCAGACGGUCUCCGAUCGCGACGAAAUUCGAUAGGCGGCCUAGCUAUAACUAAUCCCGACCACGUGCCAAGUUUCACCUCGAUCAGAGAAAGUUCUAAACACGCUUUAAAAACAGGGUUUUGACGGUGCCGCGGGCGCGUGCGUGUGCGGUCGGGUUCAGAACGGACAACGACGAACGCGAAGAGAAGUGGCAACUAACAACGAAUGCAAGUUUGAAAACGGGCGGCAACGGAGACACCGAUGCAAUGCAGAUGAUGUGCAUGAUGCGAUGAUGAUGCGGCAACAGAAAAUAGACACGCGACGAAAACAGAAAGAAACGGGAAGCUUCUGGAACGUCGGCAUCGGGCUGUCACAAUACUCCUACACUACAAGAGGAUCUCGCCCCGAGAUCCGAGAAUGAAAGGGGGAGGAGGAUGAGAAAGCAAGAGGUUAAAAUUUAGUCGCUUCUUUGACAAACGAGUGAAACCAACGAUCCUUGAAGGUUGCAAAGAGAUGAGGACUGAUAUGAGAGACGAGCAAGAAUUCACGGAAAAUUUCGGCAGCACUUCGGUAGGAAAAUGGGACAAAAAUUCGAAAAGGUGGAAGAAAUAGACAAUAUUCAUAACAAACAACUAAAUAUAACAAGGGAACACCAAGAUCUUGGUAGAACAACAUAAUUGACCCAAAAGAGCAACAUCACAAUGCCUCCGGAACAAUAGAAUAGGAACUAGCUCAUACGGAAGAAGAGAAUGAAGAAAAAUAAUGACAACUAUGAUCACAACAGAAUUGAAGAGCCUCCGGAUAGAAGAAUAGACGGAGUAGUUGGAAAACCAACAACGAAAAGAACAAGAUAGUAGUGGACUUAUGAAAAUCAUCUCAACAAAUAUGAGGUGACAACCAACCACUACAAGAACCAAGGAUAGAUGAGAGCAAAGAUAUGAAAACUUCUUACACCGAGAGGAUACAUUGAGAGCUGGGAUUGAUGACAAGCACCAUGAUAGCAACAAUCCAUAGGAAGAGCUUUGGUGAAAUCCCACCAAGAUAGCUCAAUGAAGAAAUCAUGGGUUGAAAUAUCUCAUGAUCAUAGAAUUGGUGGAUUUAAUUAUAUCAUUCUUGAGAGGAAAACUCUUCAAAUCUCCUACACUAACAAGAAGGCUAUAAUACCACCUCAAAGGAUAAAGGAAGAACAAAUGCACUUAGAAAUGCAAGAGAACGGAUACUUGAGGUUCUGCAACAAAAAUCUUGAAGAACACUUUGAGAAUGAAUUGAAAUCUUGAUGAACCACCAUGAAGGACCUCCGUAUACAAAAGAAUGAUGCAAAGAUAUCAAGGUAGAAAUGAAUAAGAUUAUGGCCUUGCCAAGAUUUAGAUGAAGCCUCACGGAGAGAAACUUGAUAGAACUUAGAACUCCGGAAAAGAAAGAUAAGAACACUAGAGAAAAGGAAUUGAUAUCAAGAGCCACUCCGGAAGAAGAAUUGAAAUCUCUUGGAAGAAGGAAGAACAAGAAUAAGAAUUAAGUUAUGCUUAUCCUUCAUCAAGUUAAAUUGAUGACAAGCAACGGAUCUAGCAUACCACUUAUUGUUCUUGAAAUGAUUAAGGAGAGAUAUAAGCACAGACUAGAAGAAAUCUUGAAAGAGGCACCGGUGAGAGUUGACAUGAAUGAGCCAACCCUGAAUGACUGGAAAUACAUGAGAAAGAAGAGAUCAUGACCCACCUGAAAUAAAACUAGAACAAGGCACCGGAAUAAUCGAGAGACGAACGAAGAGACAACAAUUGAGGAGAAUUGAGGAUGAAAGCUGAAAGCUGAGAACGAAGAAGUCUUCUAAAAUGAUGGCCUUCGGAGAAUCGAGAAUGAAACAAUUCAUAAAUGCACCGGAUAGCAAGAAAGCGAUACUCAUGAUUGGAACAAAUAAGAUGACGACACCAAGCUGAAAUGAAGAAUAUCCAAGAGAAUAGACCAAGAUUUGAGAGAAAAACCCCUUCGGAUUGCAAGCUGAGAAUGAUGACGAGAAACAACACCAAGAACUACUGAGACACUACGGAAUAAUGAAGAAUGAAAGGUUGAACCAAAUGUGAGAACUAAUUCCAAUUGAUCUUGGAGAAGGUAUAUGACUGGUGAAAUUCAUACUUACGUCAUAGUUGAAAGAUUUAAUGAUCUCCAGAAAAGAUUAAAAGAGCGAGGUAAGGUCCUGGGAAAACCUGUGGGUUAUGGGCCCACUCAAAGAAACCACCGUUGAAAAGAUUGCUAGAAAGAGGGAUAUUGCACAGGUACAAAUGAAAACUAGAUGAGGUUGAGAACCUCGAAAUAAUGAAAGAAUUGAAAACAAGAAAUCUGAGAUAACUUCAACGCUCUAGAUAGAAUGGAGAGAAAUGACAACAAGAAGAUAGACUGAUAAAAAUUCCCAACAUGGGAAAGAAUUUAAUGGUUGAAAAGGAUAUGAUGACCACGGACAACCGAAUUAAAUUCAUCGGUAAGGCUGACAAGAUUGAAUAAAGAUGAACACGAAGCUCCUGAGAAUCUUCACGAUGAAUCACCGGUUACGAAAGAAAGAAGAGAUAGCGGAAGCAUCAGUGGAAUGAAAUGCACUUGGAUGAAAUCCAAUCACUGAAGAAAAAGGGCGGGAGGGCGGGAAAAAACAAAGACGACUUGGGACAGAUGAGAUGAACUCCGGAAUAAAACGAGAGAAAGAUCUUGCAAAUUGAAGAGGGUUGAAUUCACUUGAAGAGAAGCACACCGGUUGAAAAAGAAUUGAAAUGGCAACUCCGGUUGACAAAAUUGAUAAGACAACUGAUUGAGCAAAAGGAUUAAUACUCUCAUAAAAAUAUGAGAACACCUCUUAGGAAAGAUCUGAAAUCAUCACUUGACAUCGAAGCAACAGAAUUACCAUAUUUCAACAAAACAAAGGGUGCGGCUUAUGAAACAAGCCAGAACAAACUCAUGAGAAAGAUUUCCGUUCGAUAUUUUCGUGGACAGGAUCGCACGGGCACGAUUUACAGAAACCAUCAAGUGCAAGGAAGUGCACCCGACAUACGAAGCGUCCCCGAGUCGUAGCAAGCUACAAGGACUCUUUAAGACACAACAUGUACCGCUGUAAGUCGACCGUGAACAAACGAAUCCACUAGAUGUCGAACCCCAACCUAACAUCAUUCAUUUGUUGGAAGAUUAUCCUAUAAGAAACUACUUGAAUUCCCACCUAUGAAUUCCCGAAAUAUCUGGUCAUGCAAUCUGGUACACGGAUACAAGGAGUAAUAUCACACAACUCCUAUACUAAUCCGCCACCUGUAUCACAUCCGUCAACACACGACCAGAAUCUCGGACCUUCAUCUACAACAGACCCUCGUGAUCACAACGAUACAAAGUAUGACAGUACUCCCGAACAAUCUGCACCAGUACUAGGGACAUCGGGGUUAUCUCGCCACUACUAGUAUUGAAGCAAUUACGAACAUCCUUCGUUCUGAGAUACUAAGAAAUCUGAAUGAUAACGAUGUGCUCAAGAAUCCCCUGGAGCUCAACUCCCUAGAAGAAGAUCAAGUCAGACAGGAGGCACCAAGACAGAACUCCGUCACAUCGGCAUCAUAUACAUUCCAAAAAUAUCCGCGUGAUCCUAAAAAAAAUUGAGUGAGAAGAGGAGUAGAAUAGAUUAUUACGUCAAGAUUCCUCACCAGAGCAUAGAAGAGGAGAAAAAAAAAAUCCUACUCUCCGAUAUAUAACUAAGACUCAAAUAGUUUUUCACUAGACUUGACUCGUCCAAGUUCGAUCAAUCAAGGGGGCUCCUAGGUCGGUACAGGCUCUGAUACCAACUUGUCACGCCCAAGAUGCGACCCUAUCCUCAANNNNNNNNNNNNNNNNNNNNNNNNNNNNNNNNNNNNNNNNNNNNNNNNNNNNNNNNNNNNNNNNNNNNNNNNNNNNNNNNNNNNNNNNNNNNNNNNNNNNAACAGUCUCCCACUUGCACUAGAGUCAAUAAUCUAGCCCUCACAUCACCAUGUGAAUUACAUUGUAAUAAAUCUAACACCCAUACAGUUCUGGUGUCGAUCAUGUUUUGGCCGUGGAAGAGGCUUAGUCAGCGGGUCUGCUACAUUCAGAUCCGUGUGCACUUUGCAUAUAUUUACGUCCUCCUCCUCGACGUAGUCGCGGAUGAGGUUGAAGCGUCGUUUGAUGUGUCUGGUCUUCUUGUGAAACCUUGGUUCCUUUGCUAAGGCAAUGGCACCAGUGUUGUCACAGAACAAGGUUAUUGGAUCCAGUGCACUUGGCACCACUCCAAGAUCCGUCAUGAACUGCUUCAUCCAGACACCCUCCUUAGCCGCCUCUGAGGCAGCCAUGUAUUCCGCUUCACAUGUAGAAUCUGCUACGACGCUUUGCUUGGAACUGCACCAGCUUACUGCACCCCCAUUAAGAAUAAAUACGUAUCCGGUUUGUGACUUAGAGUCGUCCGGAUCUGUGUCAAAGCUUGCAUCGACGUAACCUUUUACGGCGAGCUCUUCGUCACCUCCAUACACGAGAAACAUCUCCUUAGUCCUUUUCAGGUACUUUAGGAUAUUCUUGACCGCUGUCCAGUGAUCCACUCCUGGAUUACUCUGGAACCUGCCUGCCAUACUUAUGGCCAGGCUAACAUCCGGUCUAGUGCACAGCAUCGCAUACAUGAUAGAGCCUAUGGCUGAAGCAUAGGGGACGGAGCGCAUAUGCUCUCUAUCUUCAUCAGUUGCUGGGCACUGAGUCUUACUCAAUCUCGUACCUUGUAACACUGGCAAGAACCCUUUCUUGGACUGUUCCAUUUUGAACCUCUUCAAAACUUUAUCAAGGUAUGUGCUUUGUGAAAGUCCUAUCAGGCGUUUUGAUCUAUCCCUAUAGAUCUUAAUGCCUAGAAUGUAAGCAGCUUCUCCUAGGUCCUUCAUAGAGAAACUUUUAUUCAAGUAACCUUUUAUGCUCUCCAAAAGCUCUACGUUGUUUCCAAUCAGUAAUAUGUCAUCCACAUAUAAUAUUAGAAACGCCACAGAGCUCCCACUCACUUUCUUGUAAAUACAAGAUUCUCCAACCACUUGUAUGAACCCAAAUGCUUUGAUCACCUCAUCAAAGCGUUUGUUCCAACUCCGAGAUGCUUGCAUUAGUCCAUAAAUGGAUCGAUGGAGCUUGCACACCUUGUUAGCAUUCUUAGGAUCGACAAAACCUUCGGGUUGCAUCAUAUACAACUCUUCCUUAAGGAAACCGUUAAGGAACGCCGUUUUGACAUCCAUCUGCCAGAUUUCAUAAUCAAAAAAUGCAGCUAUUGCUAACAUGAUUCUGACGGACUUAAGCAUCGCUACGGGAGAGAAAGUCUCAUCGUAGUCAAUUCCUGGAACUUGUGAAAAACCCUUUGCCACAAGUCGAGCUUUAUAAACGGUCACAUUACCGUCAGCGUCCGUCUUCUUCUUAAAGAUCCAUUUGUUCUGAAUAGCCUUGCGGCCCUCAGGCAGCAUUUCCAAAGUCCACACUUUGUUCUCAUACAUGGAUCCUUUCUCGGACUUCAUGGCUUCUAGCCAUUUGUUGGAAUCUGGGCCCACCAUUGCUUCUUCAUAAUUUGCAGGUUCAUUGUUGUCUAACAACAUGAUUGAUAAGACGGGAUUACCGUACCACUCUUGAGCAGCACGUGGUCACGUCGACCUGCGUGGUUCGACAGAAACUUGAACCGGAGUUUCAUGAUCAUCAUCAUUAACUUCCUCCUCAACCGGCGUCGCAAUCACAGAGGUUUCCCCUUGCCCUGCGCCACCAUCCAGAGGGAUGAGAGGUUCGACAACCUCGUCAAGUUCUAUCUUCCUCCCACUCAACUCUCUCGAGAGAAACUCCUUCUCGAGAAAAGUUCCGUUCUUAGCAACAAACACUUUGCCCUCGGAUUUGAGAUAGAAGGUGUACCCAACUGUCUCUUUUGGGUAACCUAUGAAGAUGCACUUUUCCGCUUUGGGUUCCAGCUUUUCAGGCUAAAGCUUUUUGACAUAAGCAUCACAUCCCCAAACUUUAAGAAACGACAACUUUGGCCUUUUGCCAUACCACAGUUCGUAUGGUGUCGUCUCAACGGAUUUCGAUGGUGCCCUAUUUAAAGUGAAUGCAGCUCUUUCUAAUGCAUAACCCCAAAACGAUAACGGCAAAUCAGUAAGAGACAUCAUAGAUCGCACCAUUUCUAAUAAAGUACGAUUACGACGUUCGGACACACCAUUAUGCUGUGGUGUUCCAGGCGGUGUUAACUGCGAAACAAUUCCACAUUGUCUUAACUGAGUACCAAACUUGAAACUCAGAUAUUCACCCCCACGAUCAGACCGUAGGAACUUGAUCUUCUUGUUACGAUGAUUUUCAACUUCACUCUAAAAUUGCUUGAACUUUUCAAAUGUUUCAGACUUGUGCUUCAUUAAGUAGACAUAACCAUAUCUACUCAAAUCGUCAGUGAAGGUGAGAAAAUAACGAUAUCCGCCGCGUACCUCUACGCUCAUCGGACCACACACAUCGGUAUGUAUGAUUUCCAACAAGUCACUUGCACGCUCCAUUGUUCCGGAGAACGGAGUUUUAGUCAUCUUGCCCAUGAGGCAUGGUUCGCACGUGUCAAGUGAAUCAAAGUCAAGUGACUCCAAAAGUCCAUUAGCAUGGAGUUUCUUCAUGCGCUUUACACCAAUAUGACCCAAGCGGCAGUGCCACAAAAAUAUGGCGCUAUCAUUGUUUACUCUAACUCUUUUGGUCUCAAUGUUAUGUAUAUGCGUAUCGCUAUCGAGAUUCAAUAUGAACAAUCCUCUCACAUUCGGUGCAUGACCAUAAAAGAUGUUACUCAUAGAAAUAGAACAACCAUUAUUCUCAGACUUAAAAGAGUAACCGUCUCGCAAUAAACAAGAUCCAGAUAUAAUGUUCAUCCUCAAUGCAGGCACUAAAUAACAAUGAUUUAAGUUCAUCACUAAUCCCGAUGGUAGUUGAAAUGACACGGUGCCGACGGCGAUUGCAUCAACCUUGGAACCGUUUCCUACGCGCAUCGUCACUUCGUCUUUCGCCAGCCUCCGUCUAUUCCGCAGUUCCUGCUUCGAGUUGCAAAUGUGAGCAACAGAACCGGUAUCGAAUACCCAGGCACUACUACGAGAGCUGGUUAAGUACACAUCAAUAACAUGUAUAUCAAAUAUACCUGAUUUUUCUUUGCCCGCCUUCUUAUCUGCCAGAUACUUGAGGCAAUUGCGCUUCCAGUGACCCAUACCCUUGCAAUAGAAGCACUCUGUUUCAGGCUUAGGUCCAGCCUUGGGUUUCUUCGGUGGAUUGGCAACAAGCUUGCCGCUCUUCUUCGAAUUGCCCUUCUUGCCUUUGCCGUUUCUCUUGAAACUAGUGGUCUUGCUCACCAUCAACACUUGAUGUUCUUUACGGAGUUCAGACUCUGCGACUUUCAGCAUCGCAAACAACUCNNNNNNNNNNNNNNNNNNNNNNNNNNNNNNNNNNNNNNNNNNNNNNNNNNNNNNNNNNNNNNNNNNNNNNNNNNNNNNNNNNNNNNNNNNNNNNNNNNNNAUUGAAUUCAUAGCAACGAAAAUCCAGUCAUAGUCAUACUCAAUAUCAAUCAAAAGCAAAGCAUAAAAAUGAAAGAGGUGCUCUCUAAUUGGUGCUUAUAUAAGAGGAGGAUGACUCAACAGGAAAAUAAAUAGACAUGCCCUUCGCAGAGGGAAGCAUUGAUUUGCAGAGGUGCCAGAGCUCAAGAUUUGAAAACAGAGAUAAUAAUUUUGGGUGGCAUGCUUUCAUUGUCAACGCAAUGACCAAGAGUUCUCAAUAUCUUCCAUGCUACUCAUGCUAUAGGCGGUUCCCAAACAGAAAAGUAAAGUUUUAACUCCCCCACCACCAAUCAAUCACACUCCACGGCUAGCCGAAUCCUCGGGUACCGUCCAUACUAACAUCAAUCCGGGGGGAGUCUUGUUUUACAGUUAUGUUUUCGAUUUAAGCGUGGAACUGGGCAUUCCAAUUACCGGCCCCUUUCUCGUGAAUGACUGUGAAUAAACACAUGUCGAGGAUAACACUCCUAGAAUGGAAGAUACCAAUAGUCCUCUGUCACCACAUGAGUGGUUCGGGCAUGCAAAACAGAUUAUUUCUUAAAGGUUUAGAGAAUGGCACAUGCAAAUUUACUUGGAACGGCAGGUAGAUACCGCAAAUAGGUAGGUAUGGUGGACUCUCAUGGAAAAACUUUUGGGUUUAUGGAAGUGGAUGCACAAGCAGUAUUCCGCUUAGUACAAGUGAAGGCUAGCAAAAGACUAGGAAGCGACCAACUAGAGAGCGACAACAGUCAUCAAGAUGCAAUGAGUUUGACUAACAUUGAAUGCAAGCAUGAACAUGAUACAAAUCACCAUGAACACCAACAUCAUAGAGGCUAUGUUGAUUUUGUUUCAACUACAUGCAUGAACAUGCGCCAAGUCAAGCCACUUGAAAAUAUAAAGGAGAAUACCAUCCUAUCAUACUACAUCAUAGUCAUCUCAAAAUCUAUGUUGGCAUUCAAGACAAACCAUUAUAAGAUCUCAGCUAAAUAAGCAUGGCAUCAGAAACUAUGAUCUCUAAGUUGUCAUUGCAAACAUGGUUCCCUCACAACAAAGCUAAAUCUGGGUCGACAAGCUAGUCAUAUUUACAAAAACAAAAUAGAUAGAGUUCAUACCAGCUUUUCGGUCUCAGUCACUUCAUCGUAUAUCAUCAUUGUUGCCUUUCAUUUGCACGAUCGAACGAUGAAAACGAUAAUAAGCGCAUUGGACUAAGCUGAAUCUGCAGGCAAACACAAAGGAGAAGACAAAAUAAUAUGGCUCUUUGAAAGCUAAACAGGUAAGCAUGUAAGAACCAAUAAACAUUGUAACCAAUAUCUUCUACCUUGACACAAAGAAAAAGAAAACUAUUUACACGGGAAAGCUCACAACAAGCAAAAGAAGAAAGAAAAAUCUUUUUGGGGUUUCUCAAAAGGACUCAAAACAAGAAAACAAGAAAACGAAAAUAAACUAGCAUGGAUAAUACAGUGGCAAAGUGUAAACACCGGCUAACAGAGUGAAAGCAUAAGCAUGAAUGUAAAGUCGGUGAGAACACGUACUCCCCCAAGCUUAGGCUUUUGGCCUAGCUUGGUCUACUCCCAUGGAUGAUCCUGGCGAAACCCAAAGUCAUAAUGGGUGUUAUACGGGAGUGCUGCAGCCACUGCGUGAAUAGCUGCCUCACGAAGUCGAGCAGCCGUCACCUCCCUCUCAUACUCCUCUGCCUCUCCUAUGGUUAUGUAAUAUCUUCGUUUUACCUGAAAUUCAAAGAAAGCAGGAGCAGGACGGGUAAUAUGGAAAACACGCUGCCGGUUAAAUAUCAAGCGGUAUAGGAGGGAUCCAUGAUCUCUCUCAAGGAACUGGUAGCGUGUUAGAGCGACACGAUCAAGGUAGGUUAUACAGAGAGGAGGGUCUUCUGGACGGAUGGAUACUCUCAGAAAAUUUGCUAAGCGUGUAGCAUAAACUCCACCAAAGAAAUCCCCCUCACUGGCAUUUUUAUUCAGUCUCCUUGCUAUAAUAGCUCCCAUAUUGAAGCUCCUGUCACCUGUUACUGCGCUCUUAAGGAUACUAAGGUCGAAAGCGCAUAGGUGACAAUGUGCACCCUUGCCGUUAAUGCACCUACCUAUGAAGACGGCAAGGUAGUGCAAGGCAGGGAAAUGGAUGCUUCCUAUGGUGGCUUGCGUGAUAUCUCUGGUUUCUCCAACUGUUAUACUGGAGACAAAGUCUCUGACCGAAGACUUAGGAGGAUCAUUAACACUACCCCCAUCGGGUACCUUGCAAAUCCUAUUGAAAUCCUCGAGAUCCACGCUAUAUGAUUUAUCGUACAAAUCAAACAGUAAGGAUGAGUCACGGGCAACUAAGAAUUUAAAUCUACGCACGAAAGAGGCAGUGAGCAUAGCAUACUGUUCACAUUUAUCUGAGAGGAAUUCUUCUAACCCGGCAUUGCAGACAAGUGCAUCAAACUCAUCCUUGAAACAUGCUUCGAUCAUGAACUCAUCGGAAGGCCAUUCACAUGGUUGUACCGGUGCGUCCCUUAGUUGAAAAGGUUCGGGCUCCCGAAAGGAGAGACGAGGACCCUUCUUACUUGAGGAACCACCAUGAAACUUCCUCCUAAACAUAAUUUCCUUAUCCUGAAAUUUUUGAAGUUCAAGGGAAAAGUGAAUAAAGACCCACCACACCUUGUAGCAACUACUCCUACUAGUGCCUAGAGACCGUAUCACGUGCUAAAACUACUUGGAACCAGCUAAAAUCAACAUUUCUUGCUCAAGAACAGGGUCACCAAGGUAGCAAGAAUACGCGAAGGAUAAAGCACUAGAGCAAAAACUAAUUGGACCAAUGGAGGAGUCACUUACCAAGGAGUAAUUUCCCCAAAACGGUUCGGAGAAUGGUGCUUUGAGUAAGGAGAUCAAAAAUCACAGCCAAAUGAGCAAGAACACGGGUUUGAGCUGCGAAACAAUUUUUUCUGGAGGUGGAAGAAGAGGCUGGGAGCUGGAAUGAGUGGAGGGGGUGCAUGUGGGCCCCACAAGCUUGCACCCCGCCACGAGGGUGUAGGUGGCGGUGGCAGGGCUUGUGGCCCACUGGUCUGGGGCCCAGGCCAGCUCUCAGGCCCAGAAAUUUUCAAAAAUUCUAGAAAAAAUCAUACUAAAUUUUCAGGACCAUCGGAGAACUUCUAUUUUCGAGGUAUUUUUCUCCGGGACGCUAAAACAGAAAAUAGGAAAAACUAAACUAAUUCUAUCAUUUUUCUUCUAAGCAAAAGAAAAGGAAAACUUAAAACAGAGGUAUGUGACUCCUUGGUUCAUCCGUUUCAUGGUCAUCGAAAGAAAUCCGUCAAUGGGAUUGAUCAAGUCCUUAUGACAAAACCUUCUCGAAUCGCAAGAGAGAAUGGAGAAUUUUUGAAUAGCCACUAAGUCACCUCAAUGGGGAUAUGUAUCUCCCCAACAAGCAAAUCAUACUUCAUCUUGACACGAGGAAUAGGGCAUUCAAAGCUCCCAAUGAGAAUCGAUGAAGUCUUUUCGAUAGCAUUGAUGCAAUGUACUAGAUAUUGUUUCUUCGGAAAAUGCACUGUGUGCUCAUUACCGUUGACAUGGAAAGUGACAUUGCCUUUGUUGCAAUCUAUAACAGCACCUGCCAUGUUUAAAAAGGGUCUUCCGAGGAUGAUAGCCAUGGCAUCGUCCUCGGGAAUAUCCAAGAUAACAAAGUCUGUUAAGAUAGUGGUAUUAGCAACCACAAUAGGCACAUCCUCGCAAAUGCCUAUAGGGAAAGCAGUUGAUUUGUCGGCCAUUUGCAGAGAAAUUUCAGUGGGUGUCAACUUAUCCAACUCAAGUCUACAAUAAAGAGAGAGUGGCAUAACACUAACACCGGCUCCAAGGUCACAUAAGGCAGUUCUUACGUAGUUUCCUUUAAUAGAGCAAGGUAUAGUGGGCACUCCGGGAUCACCAAGUUUCUUAGGAGUCCCACCUUUAAAAGUGUAGUUGGCAAGCAUGGUGGAGAUCUCAAGAUCUAGUAUCUUCCGUUUAUUAGUCACGAUAUCUUUCAUGUACUUGGCAUACGGAGACAUCUUGAGCAUAUCAGUUAACCGCAUCUGCAGAAAGACGGGUCUUAUCAUCUCAACGAAGAGCUCAAAAUCCUCAUCAUCAUUUUUCUUGGAUGGCUUAGGAGGAAAGGGCAUAGGUCUCUGAACCCAUGCCUCCCUCUCUUUACCAUGCUUCCCAGCAGUGAAGUCAUUCUUGUCGUAUCUCUUAGGUUGUGGAUUAUCAGGAUUAACCGUAGGUUCAAUCUCCACAUCCUCGUCAUGGCUAGGUUGAGCAUUAUUAUGAAUAUCAAUGUCCAUAUUGUCACCAGGUUCAUGUUCAUCACCUGAUUGUGUUUCUGCAUCAGACGCAGAAAUAUCAUUAGGUUCUUCAGGUGUGACAGUAUUUGAUGAACUGGCGUGCAUGUUUCUAUCAUCCUUCUUCUUCUCCUUAGGAUGACUGGGUGUAUCAGCAUUGAUUCCUUGAGAAUCUUGAUCAAUUCUCUUAGGAUGACCUUCAGGAUACAAAGGUUCCUCAGUCAUUUUGCCUCCUCUAGUAAUGACUCUCACAGAGUUGUCAUUUAAUUCAUUGAGCAGGUCAUUCUGAGCUUUAAGUACUUGUUCUACCUGAGUAGUAAUCAUAUAGGCAUGUUUACUCAGAAGCUUCAGAUCAUUGACAUUUCUGUCUACACAAGCAUUUAAAUGGCUAAGCAUACGAGUACUUUGUUCCAAAUGUCUGCUAACAUAAUCAGUGAAACUCUGUUGUUUGACAGCAAAGUUAUCAAAUUCAUCAAAGCAUAGGCUAGCAGGUUUAUCAAAAGGAAUAUCACUCUCAUCAAACCUACGCAGAGAAUUCACUUCCACUACCUAUAUCGGGUUAUCGAGACCAUGGAUCUCUUCGAUAGGUGGUAGAUUUUUGAUAUCUUCAGAUCUAAUGCCUUUCUCUUGCUAAGAUUUCUUAGCUUCUUGCAUAUGUUCGGGACUGAGGAAUAGAAUACCUCUUUUCUUAGGAGUUAGAUUAGGAGGUGGUUCGGGAAUAGUCCAAGCAUUAUCGUUGAUCAAGAGGUUAUUCAGUAGGGUCUCAGCUUGUUCUACAGUUCGUUCCCUAAAAACACAACCGACACAACUAUCUAGGUGGUCUCUAAAGGCAUCGGUAAGUCCGUUAUAGAGGAUAUCAAGUAUCUCGUUCUUCUUAAGAGGGUGAUCAGGCAAAGCAUUCUGUAGCUGGACGAGCCUCCCCCAAGCUUGUGGAAGACUCUCUUCUUAGAGUUGAGGAAAGUUGUAUAUUUCCUGCAAGGCAGCUUGCUUCUUAUGGGCAGGGAAAUAUUUCUCACAGAAGUAAUAGACCAUAUCCUGGGGACUACUCACACAUCCAGGAGCAAGAGAGGUAAACCAGACUUUAGUGUCAUCCUUUAGAGAGAAAGGAAACAUCUUAAGGAUAUAGUAGUGGCGGAUCUUCUCCUCACUAGGGAAAAGGUUGGCUAUUUCGGAUAGUUUGGCAAGAUGGGCUAUGACUGUCUCAGACUCAUAACCGUGAAAAGGAUCAGAUUCGACUAGAGAGAUUAUCUCAGGGUCGACAGAGAAUUCAUAAUCCUUAUCGGUGACAAAGAUAGGCAAAGUGGCAAACUUUGGGUCAUUUUUCAUCCUAGCUUCCCGAGAUUUUUCCUUCCACUUGAGAAGUAAUUUCUCAGCGUCAUAGGCAUCCUUACACGUAAGAAAAUCCUCAGCUAUCUCUCCCUCCGUAACGUAACCCUCAGGUAUAUCAGGCAAUUCAUAUCUAGGAGAGCUAGAUCUAGCAGGAGCAAAAGCAGGUUCUAUCUCAAUAGUAUCGGCAGUUUCAGAAGCAUCACGAGCAUUGGCAGUAACUCUAGCAAUAUGAGCAUCAAGGAACACUCCUAGUGGAACAUCAGGAAAAGGAGUAUCUCUAGCAGUAUCAAGCAUAGCAUCAUUAGGCAAAAUAGCAUCUCUAGCAUCGUCAGGCAAAGCAGUAUCAAGCAUAGCAUCUCUAGCAGUAUCAGGCAUAGUAUCAAGCAUAUCAUCAUCAGGCAUAGUAUCAAGCAUAGCAUCUCUAGCAGUAGUAUCACAAGCAUCAUCAAACACAGGCGACAUAUCAAGAUUUCUAGCAAGAGGUGAUGUCGCAAACUUACUCAUAACUGAAGGUGAAUCAAGUGCAGAGCUAGAUGGCAAUUCCUUACCUCCCCUCGUAGUUGAGGGCAAGACUUUGGUUUUCGGAUCCUUCAGAUUCUUCAUAGUGAUCGGUAGAUAUAAAUCCCAAGUGACUCAGAGAAUAUAGCAAUACCUCCCCGGCAACGACGCCAGAAAAAUGCUGAUUGCAAUCUCUGGUGAUGGCUAGAUGAAUGUUGAUGACAACAAACCUUCCCCUGCAACGGCACUAGAAGAAUGCUGCUAGCACUCUCCGGCAACGGAACUAAAAGAAUGUUGUUGAUGGCCCACCAGCGCGUGGGUUCGCAGCAGUUUUCGAGGGUAGAGUAUUCGACCCAAAUUUGUUGGUUUACCAGACAGGAGGUGAGAGAAUACUCUCGAUUAUUAGCAGCUGAAUUUGUCAGAUUCAACCACACCUGAAAGAUUAGUAUCUGCAACCAAAGUAGUAACAGCAAAGUAGCGAGUAACGGCAGUGUAAAGAGCAAUAGCAGCGGCAAGGAACAACAGUAGUGACAGCAGUAGAAAGUAGCAACAGUAGCAAGCGACAACAAUAGCAACAGUGGUAGCAGCAGCAACAGAGCAAAACAAGUAACAACAGUAGCAACAGUAGUAGAAGCAGCAGCAGAGCAAGAUAAGUAACAGCAGUAGCAACAGUAGUAGCAGCAGCAGCAGAGCAAGACAAGUAACAGCAGUAGGACAAACUCGUAGGCAAUGGGUCGGUGAUUUGUUUGGAUGAUAUUCAUCAAGGGAGAAGUGGGAAGGGGGAAGGACUCCCUCCCACCAAAGCUAUAACACGGAGAGAUAUGUGGCUAGCUCAUGUCGGGGUUUUGUCACGGCAGAUGUCCUCGUGAAAGGACUUAGUACUGGAGCCAUCGCACCUUGGUGGCGACUCAAAGGGGUUAAGCGGGAGAGACACGGCGAUUUACCCAGGUUCGGCCCCUCGAGAAGAGGUAAUAGCCUACGUCCUGCUUUGUGUGUAUUGAUGUGGAUUCGAUUACAAGGAAGGCGUAACUCGCCCUAACCUAGUACUCGAUGAUCUCUAACCUAUCUCUCCCCCUCCAGACUCGCCUUUAUAUAUAGGUCGAAGCCUUAGGGCUUACAAGAGUCCCUUCCUUUUUACAAAUCGUGACCACCGCGGUCUCUAAGUCGCCGUCUUGUCGAACCCAGAGUCCUUCCAUAAAUCAUAACCAUCCUGCAACUUCGAACCGCCCGGGCAGAGGCCCAACUAGCCUUAAAGGAUGAAUCGCCUUAACAGUAACCCGGCCCACAAGUGGCGGGUCACAACAGCAGGCAAUAUCCCCAACAUUAGGCCCCAAAUUGACUUGAAUCUUCAUGCCAAUGCCUCCAUUUUAGUCGAAGGCGAUUCACUCUUCUGUGUUCCUCCUUGCACCAGAAAUCUUAACUCGCCAAUUGGUGCCGGAAAAAGUCUCUGAGCCGCCAACGCAUUUCCCAUCAGUACUCUCCUUAGCCCUCGAUUUUUGGGAACUCCAACACAAUCUCAACGGAUCUUUUGGUGCGUCAUUAUCCCAAAAUUUUCGAGCGCCAUCAUAGCGAAUCUUUCCUUCCUCGACGGUUCCCUCUCAUAACGCCUCGAUCUCCGCGCCCGUCCUGAUAAAUAGGCGGAAGGGACAGGGCUGACACCGGCCACCUACCAGUCCCAUCAAUCCCUUCACCAUCAUCUCAGCGAGAAGAAAACGCUCCGCAUCCCGAAGGCUUCGCCGCCGGCCACGAACUCCACCUUCAUCCGAAGAACUCCAGGGCUGCCCGCAGGCCGUCGCCGCCCAAGAAGCUCCGGCGCCGCCCGCAAACCGUCGCCGUUCGAGGAGCUCCGGCGCCACCCGCAAGCUGCUGCCGUUCAAAGAGCCCCGGCGCCGCCUGCAAGCCGCUGCCGUUCGAAGAGCUCCGGCGCCGUUCGAGGAACUCCAGCGCCGCCCGCACGUCGUCGCCGUCGCCAGGCUCCAUCGUCACCAGUCUUCUUCGACCAAGGUCUUCAGGUUAGGCCACUGCUUCCUUCUUUAAGGGUAGAUUUAGUUCUUGUUCUUGCCGCCGCCAUUGCCAUAGCUCCGAAGCUCUAUGUUCGCCACCAUCUUAACUGUUGAACUGAUUAGUCCGAGCGCUAUUAGGGCACCUAGUGUUUCGGACAAUGCUAUCCAUCUGUGCCCUUGCGAAUUUUCGCAAUAGACUAGUCUUUUUAAACAUGAGGCACCAUCCUGAUCACACACCGUUCAUGUUUUAGCCACGUCCGUAAGCUUUUAUAUCUGUUGGAUAGAUCCAUUCCUCUUUCACUGUUUGCAAAAAGCUGUUUGGAAACCUCGUCCUUCCCUUAGUGCUUCGGAAAAAUAAAGUUUACCACCCACAGUAGCGUCGCUUCUGAGAAUAGCCCUGCUCCGAUAGGUCGCCACAUCAGUCCAACCCGGCCUCCCAAUCCGGCGGGUUAAGCAGAAGCUAGUCCCGACUCACAUAAUAAAUGCUCGAGACACGUAAUACCAUUUUCUUGCCUAUUUGUAGCAUGGGUGCUGUUUUCAAGAGCGAUUGGCUCCCCACCAAAGUUGACGAUGCUGUUUUGGCGAAUUACGUGAAAGCGGGCUUCUUGGAUCCUCAAGACGUCAUUGGAUGGCGCACCGGGUUAGUCGAAGACCUACCCAACCCUAAGGAAGGAGAGAUAGUAGUUUUUGUGGAACACUUAGAACGGGGUUUUAAACCGCCCGGAUCUAAAUUCCUUAGAGACGCCCUGAAUUUUAUGAACGUCCGACUCCAGGAUUUGGAACCCAACUCCAUAAGCAACCUGAGUCAAUUCCAAGUCCUUUGCGAAGCUUAUUUGCGGAUCGAGCCUUCCAUCCCUCUGUUUUGGUACUUCUUCCACUUGAAUCGCCAGACGGAAUUCCACAAUGGCCCCGGUUUGGAACUCGGCGGGGUCAACGUCCAGCGUCGCAGGGAUAGUCCGUUCCCUGCAUUCACUAUGCCUAGCCAUCCCAAAGGCUGGGGUGAAUCUUGGUUCUACUGUAAGGAAACAUCCCCUGCCGGUGAAAACAAACUUCAGGGUUACAGGCCUAGCCGCCUCCCAGUCAACUUCAAGCUCCCUGACAAGCUCACCGAGGAAGAAGAGUCGGAAUUCGUCCCAAUUCUGUCCGAACUGAGAUCCUUGACGAACAACGGUCUCACCGGGGUUGACUUGAUUCACUGCUGGGUCGAAUGGCGGAUCCUUCCUCUGAGCCGCCGAGACGGCCUGAUGUGCGAUUUUGACGGUACUCUGGAUCAUCCCCAAUGCUACUUCCACACAUCAUUAACGGAAAAAAACAUAGUCACCAUCAUCAGGAAGCUGACCGGCGAACCUGCAGCGAAAUGCGGCCAAAUCGGCCUUAAGCCCUUCUGCAAGAUUAACCCGGCACCCAAGGUAACCAAAGCUAACUCGCCCUCAACUUUUAUUUCAUCUGUUUUACUGUCAUCAUGACUUCAUGCCAUAUCCCCUUCCAGAAAGGCGACAAGUUCUGGUCUAGGAGACCUAAGAAACAAGCCAUGAAAAGUGCUAAGCCGCCUUCCAAGAAAAACAAAGGCAAAGGCAAAUCGGCUGCGGCCGAGCCAUCUGAAGUCGACGAAUCUCAAGCUGGCGACGCACUCUCAGAGGUACCAAUCCGUCCUCAUUUUCACUCGCCACUCAUCACCUUUUUAACUUUUACUUAUCUCUCGCUCCUUUUAUAACAGAAUGAAGAUAACGAGAGCCAGGAAGACUCUUUCGAGGUAAUUUCCGUCUNNNNNNNNNNNNNNNNNNNNNNNNNNGGUAAUUUCCGUCUCCUCCGAUUCAUCUCCUUCUCCACCUAAGCCGGCCCGGCGAAUAUGUGGGAAAGUACCUCUCUCACAUCCAAAUGCCCAUUUGGACCCAAAUUUCUUACUGAAGAAAACGCAGCACGCCUCAAAACGGAAAACGCGAAGUCAUUCUGGCGAUCUGACACCUGGCUUGCCAACAAGGAACAAAAGAAAACCAAGCGAGGUACCUCCUUUUCUUAUUUGAGAAACCACUGUUCGUGCUGCUUUGGAUCACAGUCCUAACCCGCCAGUAUUAUCGAUGUACCAAUUCUGCAGGAUUCUCCCCCCACUUCUGGCGACUCAGUAAUGUCGACCCUUCCACCAAUGAUCCGAGUCCCGGGGUAAGUUCCUUGUCCUGAUCCUUGAGAAUAAUACUCUUUUUAAUAUAUAUUUUUAACACGCCUAUCUCUGGUUCAUUAGGGCGCAAGCCAAAAAGAGGAAGACCAGUGGAUCAAACCCUGACGCCACUCCUGAACCUCCAAGGAAAGCUACUCCGACUCAAGAGGACCCGAGUCAAAAUGAGCCGACAAUUCAAGCAAACCCUCCUGAGUCGCCCAAAGGAUCAACGGAUGUCCCUCGAUCACCGGUCGUAAUGGCGACAACUGAUGACCCAGAUGCUGUGGUCAUUACUGGUUUUGGUUUUUCCAAGCCGGCAGAGACAAUCCUCUCCAAACAUACAGCAUCCCCUUCUCCAUCAAUUCUCGAGUCUGGGCCUUCCAAGGCGAAACUUUCUGACUAUGCAGGUCUGGAGUUUAAAGAACUUUGUUCUGGCUUCGCAAGUCGCCUGGAAGCAAGUUACGAGAUGGAAAAGAAUCUGCUGAAGUUGUUAAAUAACAAACAUGAGGUAAAAUUUUAUACUCUAUAUUAUUCUCAGCAACCCCCAAGGGCCGGGUCAUUAGUAAAAUGAUGAGCCGGGUCUUUUAAAAGCUUCGCGACCAGUAACCCCCAAGGGUCGGGUCAUCAGUAAAAUGAUGAGCCGGGUCUUCUAAAAGCUUCGCGACCAGUAACCCCCAAGGGCCGGGUCAUCAGUAAAAUGAUGAGCCGGGUCUUGAUUUCUGUAUAAUUUCCCUUGAGAAAUUAUACAUUAGCCCCCAAGUGUUAGGGGUAUUGCCUUGCAAUAAUUCUGAGACUUGUCUCUGUUUUUAAAUUUUGAACAGGAAAGCCUUACCCAGACUGAACUGGUUCUGGGCGACUUAAGGAAAAACUUGGCUGACCAACAAGAUGCCCGAGCUCAGUCGGAAGACAAAUAUAAGCUGGCUCUGGUUGAACUGGAAAAGCUCAAAGUCGAGUUAGAAAGAACUCAGGCUGACCACAGCGCGGUUUUGACAAGAGCCGAAAAAGCAGAAGCAAAGCUGGCAACCGUGCAGCAGGAGCUAUCCGGCUUAAAGCGCCAUAUUUCCAACAUGACACAAGCCAUCUAUGGUAAGCUUUGCCUAACUCGCCAAUCUUAUCCUCUUCCUUGGGCGAAUUCCUUAAUGUUUAACUUACCAGUUAUUUAAUCACAGGCUCGACAGUCGCCAAUCUGCAAGACGACAGCGUGUUGAUGCUGAAGGCGAUCUAUACACUGACGGAACAACUGUACACAAGCAGUGUGCUGACCGUCAAAGCUGUGAUCGGUGCAAAGGAGCCCAUAACUUCUAUCAAGAAGGUGCUUGGAUAUCUAUCCAUACUGCCUCCCCAGAUCGGCGAGUUAACCCGAUCAGCCGCCCGAAAGGGUGUCCUGACGGCUCUGAGUCCCUGCCUGGCUUAUGCUCCAGAAAUUAAUUUGGAAGAAGUAGCUGCCGGCUUCCCUCAGCUUAAAGAUGACGGCUCGGAGUUCGUGGAAGAGGACUACCAGAAGGUUGUCAAGGAUUCUCGACUGGCCGCGACUCAACUCGCCGCCAGCCUUGACUUGACAAAAUAUCACGCGGCUUACGAUGACAAGAAUAAGAAAAUCAGCCCGCCAACCUUCGUGGUGACCAACCUUAUCCCUCGGCGACCCAAGAAUCCCUUUGACUGGGAAACAGAUCUGGCAUCAAUCUUGACCGAUGAAGACGAUUUUGCCUCUUUGUCCAGAUGCAAUUGGGUCUUGGGUGAUUUACAAAUCGAAGCUGGUCAGAGCGCACGCCAGAACUUAGCGGAAUAGGUUUUCCUUGAAUUUGGCCCAAGAGCCAUGUAAUAGUCAGUACUAUCUUUUGAUGACAUCUUCUGCAAAAAAAACCUUAUACCGUUUUUGAGGCGGUUUUAAAAUAUUUUGUUAACCCUUAUGAGAGUCGCCUGAAAUGCUCAACCCGCCAAGGAUGAAAACCUUGAGCACAUUAUCUGUGAAAAUAAAAGAACCACAAACAGUUUCAACGAGUAAGCAGUGAGGAUAAAAAUUUCCAAAGUCAAAUCAUAACACGAGCAAUUUUGUUGGCUCAUACGGUCGCGACAGGGGGAGGCGAGUCAGAAAGCUCGUGCANNNNNNNNNNNNNNNNNNNNNNNNNNNNNNNNNNNNNNNNNNNNNNNNNNNNNNNNNNNNNNNNNNNNNNNNNNNNNNNNNNNNNNNNNNNNNNNNNNNNAGUCUUCAAACCACCAAAAUCACUAAGGGGCACUAGAUGCACUUACAGUUACUAUUGCAAGGGUAUGGGUCACUCGAAGCACAAUUGCCCCAAGUAUCUAGCUGAUAAGAAGGCGGCCAAAGAAAAAUCAGGUAUAUUUGAUAUACAUGUUAUUGAUGUGUACUUAACCGGCUCUCGUAGUAGUGCCUGGGUAUUCGAUACCGGUUAUGUUGCUCAUAUUUGCAACUCGAAACAGGAACUGCGGAAUAGACGAAGGCUGGCGAAAGAUGAAGUGACGAUGCGCGUAGGAAAUAGUUCCAAGGUUGAUGCAAUCGCCGUCGGCACAGUUUCACUUCAGUUAUCAUCAGGAUUAGUUAUGAACUUGAAUCAUUGUUAUUUAGUGCCUGCGUUGAGCAUGAACAUUAUAUCUGGAUCUUGUUUAUUGCGAGACGGUUACUCUUUUAAGUCAGAGAAUAAUGGUUGUUCUAUUUCUAUGAGUAACAUCUUUUAUGGUCAUGCACCCAAUGUGAGAGGAUUGUUCAUAUUGAAUCUUGAUAGUGAUACACACAUACAUAACAUUGAGACCAAAAGAGUUAGAGUUAACAAUGAUAGCGCCAUAUUUUUGUGGCACUGCCGCUUAGGUCAUAUUGGUGUAAAGCGCAUGAACAAACUCCAUGCCGAUGGACUUUUGGAGUCACUUGACUUUGAUUCACUUGACGCGUGCGAACCAUGCCUCAUGGCCAAGAUGACUAAAACUCCGUUCUCCGGAACAAUGGAGCGUGCAAGUGACUUGUUGGAAAUCAUACAUACCGAUGUGUGUGGUCCGAUGAGCGUAGAGGUACGCGGCGGAUAUCGUUAUUUUCUCACCUUCACUGACGAUUUGAGUAGAUAUGGUUAUGUCUACUUAAUGAAGCACAAGUCUGAAACAUUUGAAAAGUUCAAGCAAUUUUAGAGUGAAGUUGAAAAUCAUCGUAACAAGAAGAUCAAGUUCCUACGGUCUGAUCGUGGGGGUGAAUAUCUGAGUUUCGAGUUUGGUGCUCACUUAAGACAAUGUGGAAUUGUUUCACAGUUGACACCGCCUGGAACACCACAGCGUAAUGGUGUGUCCGAACGUUGUAAUCGUACUUUAUUAGAGAUGGUGCGAUCUAUGAUGUCUCUUACCGAUUUGCCAUUAUCAUUUUGGGGUUAUGCAUUAGAAACAGCUGCAUUCACUUUAAAUAGGGCACCAUCAAAAUCCGUUGAGACGACACCAUACGAACUGUGGUAUGGCAAAAGGCCAAAGUUGUCGUUUCUUAAAGUUUGGGGAUGUGAUGCUUAUGUCAAAAAGCUUUAGCCUGAAAAGCUGGAACCCAAAGCGGAAAAGUGCAUCUUCAUAGGUUACCCAAAAGAGACAGUUGGGUACACCUUCUAUCUCAAAUCUGAGGGCAAAGUGUUUGUUGCUAAAUACGGAGCUUUUCUCGAGAAGGAGUUUCUCUCGAGAGAGUUGAGUGGGAGGAAGAUAGAACUUGACGAGGUUGUCGAACCUCUCAUCCCUCUGGAUGGUGGCGCAGGGCAAGGGGAAACCUCUGUGAUUGCGACGCCGGUUGAGGAGGAAGUUAAUGAUGAUGAUCAUGAAACUCCAGUUCAAGUUUCUGUUGAACCACGCAGGUCGACGAGAUCACGCGCUGCUCCAGAGUGGUACGGUAAUCCCGUCUUAUCAAUCAUGUUGUUAGACAACAAUGAACCUGCAAAUUAUGAAGAAGCAAUGGUGGGCCCAGAUUCCAACAAAUGGCUAGAAGCCAUGAAGUCCGAGAAAGGAUCCAUGUAUGAGAACAAAGUGUGGACUUUGGAAAUGCUGCCUGAGGGCCGCAAGGCUAUUCAGAACAAAUGGAUCUUUAAGAGGAAGACGGACGCUGAUGGCAAUGUGACCGUUUAUAAAGCUCGACUUGUGGAAAAGGGUUUUUCACAAGUUCAAGGAGUUGACUACGAUGAGACAUUCUCACCCGUAGCGAUGCUUAAGUCCGUCAGAAUCAUGUUAGCAAUAGCUGCAUUUUUUGAUUAUGAAAUCUGGCAGAUGGAUGUCAAAACGGCGUUCCUUAACGGUUUCCUUAAGGAAGAGUUGUAUAUGAUGCAACCCGAAGGUUUUGUCGAUCCUAAGAAUGCUAACAAGGUGUGCAAGCUCCAUCGAUCCAUUUAUGGACUAAUGCAAGCAUCUCGGAGUUGGAACAAACGCUUUGAUGAGGUGAUCAAAGCAUUUGGGUUCAUACAAGUGGUUGGAGAAUCUUGUAUUUACAAGAAAGUGAGUGGGAGCUCUGUGGCGUUUCUAAUAUUAUAUGUGGAUGACAUAUUGCUGAUUGGAAACAACGUAGAGUUUUUGGAGAGCAUAAAGGAUUACUUGAAUAAAAGUUUCUCGAUGAAGGACCUAGGAGAAGCUGCUUACAUUCUACGCAUUAAGAUCUACAGGGAUAGAUCAAAACGCGUGAUAGGACUUUCACAAAGCACAUACCUUGAUAAAGUUUUGAAGAGGUUCAAAAUGGAACAGUCCAAGAAAGGGUUCUUGCCAGUUUUACAAGGUACGAGAUUGAGUAAGACUUAGUGCCCAGCAACUGAUGAGGAUAGAGAGCAUAUGCGCUCCGUCCCCUAUGCUUCAGCCAUAGGUUCUUUCAUGUAUGCAAUGUUGUGCACUAGACCGGACGUUAGCCUGGCCAUAAGUAUGGCAGGUAGGUUCCAAAGUAAUCCAGGAGUGGAUCACUCGACGACGGUCAAGAAUAUCCUGAAGUACCUGAAAAGGACUAAGGAGAUGUUUCUCGUGUAUGGAGGUGACGAAGAGCUCGCCGUAAAAGAUUACGCCGAUGCAAGCUUUGACACAGAUCCGGACGACUCUAAGUCGCAAACCGGAUACGUAUUUAUUCUUAAUGGGGGUGCGGUAAGCUGGUGCAGUUCCAAGCAGAGCCGUCGUAGCAGAUUCUACAUGUGAAGCGGAGUACAUGGCUGCCUCGGAGGCGGCUAAGGAGGGUGUCUGGAUGAAGCAGUUCAUGACGGAUCUUGGAGUGGUGCCAAGCGCACUGAAUCCAAUAACCUUGUUCUGUGAUAACACGGGUGCCAUUGCCCUAGCAAAGGAAACACGGUUUCACAAGAAGACCAGACACAUCAAACGACGCUUCAACCUCAUCCGCGACUACGUCGAAGGGGAGGACAUAAAUAUAUGCAAAGUGCACAAAGAUCUGAAUGUAGCAGACCCGCUGACUAAACCUCUUCCACGGGCAAAGCAUGAUCAACACCAGAACUGUAUGGGUGUUAGAUUUAUUACAAUGUAAUUCGCAUGAUGAUGUGAGGGCUAGAUUAUUGACUCUAGUGCAAGUGGGAGACUGUUGGAAUUAUGCCCUAGAGGCAAUAAUAAAUAUAGUUAUUAUCAUAAUUCCUGUAUCAAGAUAAUCGUUUAUUAUCCAUGCUAUAAUUGUAUUGAAUGAAGACUUAUAUACAUGUGUGGAUACAUAGACAAAACACUGUCCCUAGCAAGCCUCUAGUUGGCUAGCGAGUUGAUCAAAGAUAGUCAGUGUCUUCUGAUUAUGAACAAGGUGUUGUUCCUUGAUAACUGGAUCACGUCAUUAGGAGAAUCACGUGAUGGACUAGACCCAAACUAAUAGACGUAGCAUGUUGAUCGUGUCAUUUUGUUGCUACUGUUUUCUGCGUGUCAAGUAUUUGUUCCUAUGACCAUGAGAUCAUAUAACUCACUAACACCGGAGGAAUACUUUGUGUGUAUCAAACGUCGCAACGUAACUGGGUGAUUAUAAAGAUGCUCUACAGGUAUCUCCGAAGGUGUUCGUUGAGUUAGUAUGGAUCGAGACUAGGAUUUGUCACUCCGUGUGACGGAGAGGUAUCUCGGGGCCCGCUCGGUAAUACAACAUCACACACAAGCCUUGCAAGCAAUGUGACUUAGUGUAAGUUGCGGGAUCUUGUAUUACGGAACGAGUAAAGAGACUUGCCGGUAAACAAGAUUGAAAUAGGUAUACGGAUACUGACGAUCGAAUCUCGGGCAAGUAACAUACCGAAGGACAAAGGGAAUGACAUACGGGAUUAUAUGAAUCCUUGGCACUGAGGUUCAAACGAUAAGAUCUUCGUAGAAUAUGUAGGAUCCAAUAUGGCCGAUAAGAUCUUCAUAGAAUAUGUAGGAUCCAAUAUGGGCAUCCAGGUCCUGCUAUUGGAUAUUGACCGAGGAGUCUCUCGGGUCAUGUCUACAUAGUUCUCGAGCCCGCACGGUCUGCACACUUAAGGUUCGACGUUGUUUUAUGCAUAUUUGAGUUAUAUGGUUGGUUACCGAAUGUUGUUCGGAGUCCGGGAUGAGAUCACGGACGUCACGAGGGUUUCCGGAAUGGUCCGAGAAUGAAGAUUGAUAUAUAGGAUGACCUCAUUUGAUUACCGGAAGGUUUUCGGAGUUAUCGGGAAUGUACCGGGAAUGACGAAUGGGUUCCGGGAGUUCACCGGGGGGGGGGGGGGGCAACCCACCCCGGGGAAGCCCAUAGGCAUUGGGGGUGGCGCACCAGCCCUUAGUGGGCUGGUGGGACAGCCCAAAAGAGCCCUAUGCGCCAUAGGAAGAAAAAUCAAAGAGAAAAAAAAGAGGAGGUGGGAAAAGGGGGAAGGACUCCUCCUUCCAAACCUAGUUGGACUCGGUUUGGCAGGGGAGAUCUCCCCCCCUUGGCUCGGCCGAAGUCCUUAGGGGUCCUUGGACCCCAAGGCAAGGCUCCCUCUCUUCCCCCUAUAUAUCCGGAGGUUUUAGGGCUGAUUUGAGACAACUUUGCCACGACAGCCCGACCACAUAUCUCCACGGUUUUACCUCUAGAUCGCGUUUCUGCGGAGCUCGGGCGGAGCCCUGCUGAGACGAGAUCAUCACCAACCUCCGGAGCGCCGUCAUGCUGCCGGAGAACUCUUCUACCUCUCCGUCUCUCUUGCUGGAUCAAGAAGGCCGAGAUCAUCGUUGAGUUGUACGUGUGCUGAACGCAGAGGUGCCGUCCGUUCGGCAUUAGAUCGUGGGACUGAUCGCGGGACGGUUCGCGGGGCGGAUCGAGGGACGUGAGGACGUUCCACUACAUCAACCGCGUUCACUAACGCUUCUGUUGUACGGUCUACAAGGGUACGUAGAUCACACAUCCCCUCUCGUAGAUGGACAUCACCAUGAUAGGUUUUCGUGCGCGUAGGAAAAUUUUUGUUUCCCAUGCGACGUUCCCCAACAGAACGCACCGCAAUUCUAAUUAUGCUACUUGAUAGUUAGAGGUUCAAUAGUAAUGGGCAGUACGCCAAGACAAGUAGACCGUUUAUUCAUUAGCAUCUACUUACUAAUCAUCCACCUUGAGAUAUCUAUUCAGAACAUAUCUCCAGUAUUAAGUUGCGAGCCCCGAUGCGGCUCGGACCGACAUUACUCGUAUGCUUACGAGAGACUGGUUUCAUCGCUACGAGUAACUCCGUUGCUCAAAGAUGACUGGCAGGUGUCAGUUUCUCCAACUUUAGUUGAAUCGGAUUUGACCGAGGAGGUCUUUGGAUGAGGUUAAAUAGCAACUCAUAUAUCUCCGUUGUGGUGUUUGCGUAAGUAAGAUACAAUCCUACUAGAUACCCAUGGUCACCACGUAAAACAUGCAACAACAAAAUUAGAGGACGUCUAACUUGUUUUUGCAGGGUAUGCUUGUGAUGUGAUAUGGCCAAUGAUGUGAUCUGAUAUAUUGGAUGUAUGAGAUGAUCAUGUUGUAAUAGAUAAUAUCGACUUGCACGUCGAUGGUACGGCAACCGGCAGGAGCCAGAGGGUUGUCUUUAUAACUAACGUUUGUGCUUGCAAAUGCGUUUACUAUUUUGCUAGGAUGUAGCUUUAGUAGUAAUAGCAUGAGUAGCACGACAACCCCGAUGGCGACACGUUGAUGGAGAUCAUGGUGUGGCGCCGGUGACAAGAAGAUCGUGCCGGUGCUUUGGUGAUGGAGAUCAAGGAGCACAUGAUGAUGGCCAUAUCAUGUCACUUAUGAAUUGCAUGUGAUGUUAAUCCUUUUAUGCACCUUGUUUUGCUUAGAACGACGGUAGCAUUAUGAGGUGAUCUCUCACUAAAAUUUCAAGACGAAAUUGUGUCCUCCCCGACUGCGCACCGUUGCUACAGUUCGUCGUUUCGAGACACCACGUGAUGAUCGAGGGUGAUAGACUCAACGUUCACAUACAACGGGUGCAAAACAGUUGCGCACGCGGAACGCUCGGGGUAAGCUUGACGAGCCUAGCAUGUGCAGACAUGGCCUCGGAACACAUGAGACCGAAAGGUCGAUCAUGAAUCAUAUAGAUGAUAUGAUUAGCAUAGGGAUGCUUACCACUGAAACUACUCCCGACUCACGUGAUGAUCGGACUUGGGAUAGUGUAGGUGGAUCAUGAACCACUCAAAUGACUAGAGAGAUGUACUUUUUGAGUGGGAGUUUAGCAUGUAAUUUGAUUAAGUUGAACUCUAAUUAUCUUGAACAUAGUCUAAGUCCACUUUGAAUAUAUUUGUGUUGUAGAUCAUGGCUCACGCGACAGUCACCCUGAAUUUUAAUACGUUCCUAGAGAAAGCUAAGUUGAAAGAUGGUGGAAGCAACUUUGUAGAUUGGGCUCGUAAUCUUAAGCUAAUCUUACAAGCUGGGAAGAAGGAUUAUGUCCUUAAUGCUGCGCUAGGAGAUGAACCACCCGCNNNNNNNNNNNNNNNNNNNNNNNNNNNNNNNNNNNNNNNNNNNNNNNNNNNNNNNNNNNNNNNNNNNNNNNNNNNNNNNNNNNNNNNNNNNNNNNNNNNNGCGGGAGGGUGGGGAAAAACAAAGACAACUGGGGACGGAUGAGAUGAACUCCGGAAUAAAAUGAGAGAAGGAUCUUGCAAAUUGGAGAGGGUUGAAUUCACUUAAGAGAAGCACACCGGUAGGAAAAUAAUUGAUAUGACAACUCCGGUAGACAAGAAUUGAUUUGACAAUCUGAACGAACAAAAGAAUUUGCAUUCCCACAUAAAAAUAUGAGAACACCACUUAGGAAAGAUCUGAAAUCAUCACUUGACAUCGAAGCCACUGAAUUACCAUAUUCAACAAAUCAAAGGGUGAGGCUUAUGAAACAAGCCAGAAGAAACUCAUGAGAAAGAUUUCCGUUCAAUAUUUUCGUGGACAGGAUCACACGGGCACGAUUUACAGUAGCCAUCAAGUGCAAGGCAGUGCACCCGACAUACGCAGCGUCCCCGAGUCGUAGCAAGCUACAAGGACUCUUUAAGACACAACGUGUACCGCUGUAAGUCGACCGUGAACAAACAAAUCCACUAGAUGUCGAACCCCAACCUAACAUCAUGCGUUUGUUGGAAGAUUGUCCUAUAAGCAACUACUUGAAUUCCCACCUAAGAAUUUCCGAAAUAUCUGGUCAUGCAAUCUGGUACACGGAUACAAGGAGUAUUUCACACAACUCCUAAACUAACCCAUCACCUGUAUCACAUCCGUCAACACACGACCAGAAUCUCGGACCUUCAUCUACAACAGACCCUCGUGAUCACAACGAUACAAAGUAUGACAGUACUCCCGAACAAUCUGCACCAGUACUAGGGACAUCGGGGUUAUCUCGCCACUACUAGUAUUGAAGCAAUUACGAACAUCCUUCGUUCUGAGAUACUAAGAAAUCUGAAUGAUAACGAUGUGCUCAAGAAUCCCCUGGAGCUCAACUCCCUAGAAGAAGAUCAAGUCAGACAGGAGGCACCAAGACAGAACUCCGUCACAUCGGCAUCAUAUAGAUCCCAAGAAUAUCCGCGUGAUCCUAAAUUUUUUUUUGAGUGGCAAGAGGAGUAGAGUAAAUUAUUACGUCAAGAUUCCUCACCAGAGCAUAGAAGAGAAGAAAAAAGAAUCAUACUCUCCGGUAUAUAACUAGACUCAAAGUAGUUUUUCACUAGACUUGACUCGGCCAAGUUUGAUCAAUCAAGGGGGCUCCUAGGUCGGUACGGCUCUGAUACCAACUUGUCACGCCCAAGAUGCGACCCUAUCCUCAAUUUGGCACGAAGGCCUCGUCAGGGAUAGAAGCGCAUCUCGUCGUGUCGCAAGAAUGGAUAUCGUUACAAGUAUAUGUACUGAAAAGAAGAGUAUAUAUACAGAGUUGGCUUACACUCGCCACAAGAUACAUCAGAGUCACAUCAAUACAUUACAUAAACAUCAAGAGUAAGAGCAGGGUCCGACUACGGACGAAAACAAACGAGAAAAGAAAGAACGACGUCCAUCCUUGCUAUCCCAGGCUGCCGGCCUGGAACCCAUCCUAGAUCGAUGAAGAAGAAGAAGAAGAAGAAGCAACUCCAAAUGAACAAUCAACGCUCUCACGUCGAGUAACCUUUACAUGUACCUGCAAGUGGUGUUGUAGUAAUCUGUGAGCCACAGGGGACUCAGCAAUCUCAUUUCCAAAGGUAUCAAGACUAGCAAAGCUUAAUGGGUGAGGUAUGGUUAAGUGGUGAGGUUGCAGCAGCGACUAAGCAUAUAUUUGGUGGCUAAACUUACGAGUACAAGAAAUUAGAGGGGGAUGAUCUACGCAUAAUGGACGUGAACUACUGAUGAUCAAGUGAAUGAUCCUGAACACCUACCUACGUCAGAUAUAACCCCACCGUGUCCUCGAUCGGAGAAAGAACUCACGAAAGAGACAGUCACGGUUACGCACACAGUUGGCAUGUUUUAAUUAAGUUCACUUCAAGUUAUCUAGAACCAGUGUUAAACAAAGUUUCCACGUUGCCACAUAACCGCGGGCACGGCUUUCCGAAAAGAUUUAACCCUGCAGGGGUGCUCUAACUAGUCCAUCACAAAUUACCACAAGCCGCAUAGAAAUCCUCAAUCACGAAGGUCGCGAUCUCGUCGGAUUCCCUAGUGGAAAACCUCAACUCUGAGAUUAGCCAAAGCAUCACCGGAAUCCCGAUGCACAAGAUAUCUCAUCAAAGGUAAAACUAAUCCAGCAAGGUCGCCCGACGUGUCGACGAUCCCGAUAGGAGCCGCGUAUCUUGUUCUCAGGACACGACGGAUGGAACUAGCUACGGGUGCCAAACCUCGAGUUUCCCCGUGGUGGCCCCGCAGGCAGACCGUUUGGGACCAACACCAUCAACACUGGCCCCCCUGUUUAUGUAAAAUUACUCCUCGGGUUCAUGACGCCCUAUGCAUUUCUAUAUUAACAAAGUUAUUAUGUUGGGCAAAUGUAGAACCAAUGUUGGGCCUUGCCGGACCAGCUUUAAUCUAAAACGAAUUAUCAAGGGGGUCCCCAUAACAACCCCGACCGUGUUAGGAGCGCUCGUUUAGGGAAUAUAACACCGGUAGCCGAAACUAAGGGGGCAAAGGUGGAACAAAACACCAGGCUAGAAAGGCCAAGCCUUCCACCUUUUACCAAGUAUAUAGGUGCAUUAAAUUAAAUAGCAUUAAAUAUGGUGAUAUGACAAGGAACCCAUGUUUUCACAUGGUAGCAACUGCACCUGCAACUAGCAACGCUAACAACAUGGUAAGCAAGCAUUAACAUAGCCAAUCAGUGGUUUGCUAGGUCGAACAGGUUGAAGGUUAUCAUGGCAUUGUUGAGAGGCUGAUAUUUAACAAGUGGUAGGUAACGAGAGAUAAUCGAUAGAAGCGGUAAACUAGCAUGGCAAUGAUAGUAAUGGUAUCUGGGGAAAUGAUCAUCUUGCCUGAGAUCCCGCUUGGAAGAAGAAUGACUCCGAGAAGUCGGCGAACCAACGUGGUCGAACGGGUCCUCACAUUCCGACACGCUUGCGGAACUCUAUCGAGACGGAGGAAACUGGAAACAAACAUCAACACAGAUAUUCACCACGGCAAAUGCAAGACAUGAUGCACACCCGAAUAUGAUGCAUGAUCAGUUCAAAGAUGCAAGGCAUGGCAUGACAAUUCACCUCACGCAAACACUACACAUUAAGUGAAGCUCGAUAUGCAACGGGUUGCAUAUCGACGAAACUCCACGUUUAAUUAUUUAAUUCUCUCCCGUUAAUUAUCACGGCAAUAUUACAUUGUGGUUAUCAUGGCAUGGGUGAAGCGAUGAUCCCACAAAUCAUCCUAGUCGGUUACCACGCGAAACAUAGAUCGGAGCUACGGCACAUGAGACAUGCAACACAAUAUCAUAUGCCAUGAAUGCGUCAUGCAUGAGAGUUCAACACAUCACGACAAGAAGGGAAAUAAGCAUGGUGUCGCCAUGGCGAACGAGAGGAAACCAUGGCGGCAAAUCGGAAACGAUGCCACGGCAACGUUCCGGUCCCGAUAACUCGAGGAGAAACCGGUGCCAACGUAUAAGAACGCGUGUGGGAACGGUAAAUAAAGAUGGGGUGAUCCCGUAUCUCGGGUUCCCAUGUGUCGAGGGCUCAACGAAAAGGAAGACGACGUGCACGGCAAAUAAACGGUGCAUACAUACGGUGCAUACAUGCAUUCAACUUGUACAACACAUACAUCCGUACAUCACUAGUACACUAUACACGACAUGUCCCAUCGGUAUACCUUCGACGCGUGCGAAUCGGAGGGGUUCGGUCGAAGUGGACGUCGUGGUCGUCGUGGAAGUAGUCGUACACGCGCCGGUAGUUGAAGUAGUGGUACACGGUCUCGUCGACGGUAGUCGUUCGCUCGGCGUCGUGGUUCACGGUCUUCGGCGUCGGUAGUCGUUCACGAAUCCGUAGAUGUCCGGGGUCGUCGGGGCAUCGUUGAACUCGCCGAUCUCGUCGACGACUCACGGUAGGCAGGGAUGAUCCGCGCGGCGACGCAAGCGGCAGCAUCACGGCUAGCGUAAGCGGACAACCGCAAGCCACUAGCUACCUAGACUAGCAUCUAACAGGAAAAGCGACAGCAAGCAUAGCAACUACGGCCACGGCAAACUUCAGGCCAGCAAGCAACUUGCAGCGGGAAAGCAAAAGCGCGGCAUAGCACGGCACAGCAACGGUACAGUCAACAGCACCCAGCAAGGGGCAGCACCGGCACAAGCUAGCAGCAGCAGAGCAAGCUACAGCAGCAUGCACAAGCAACAGCAAACGCACGCACAGCAACUACCUAGCGGUGGAAGGCAAACCUAGCAGCAGCUAAGCUAGCUAGCUGUGGCAGCACAAGCAGCACGACAACGGCACGCAUCGGCUAGCCAGCACCGGCACAACAGCAACAGCUUAGGCAGGCAAAUAAAAUGCAGCAACAGCAACUGGCACCAGCAACUGCACACGGCAGCAGGCAGCGACGCAGCACACCAGGCAGCAGCAUCGGCACAUCUGGCAGACGCGCACGGGGACGACGAGGAACAGCAGCAUGGCGCCUCGGGACAGAGCAACCGGCGGGGAACGGCUCGGGAGGCCAGGGCGAACACCAUGGCGGCGAGCUCGGGAACUUGGCGGCGGCGGCGCAGAGGCUCGGGGAGGCGACAGCAGGACGCGGGCGCGGCGGCCAGAGAGGCCAUGGCGAGCAGGGCCGGCAGGGUGCGGCGUCCGGCGCGGGCGCAGGGGACGGCCACAGGGGCGAGGCGACAGCGGCGCGGCGAGGCCGAGGGAAGGAGCGGCGACGCCGCUCGGGCAGGACGGCGCGGCGUCGGCCACGGCGGUGGCGCGGGCAGGCGGUCCGAGGGGGCGGCGCGCGCAGGCCUGCGCGGGAGGCCAGCCCGGCGGCCACGGCGACGCGGAGAAGCGGCCCGGCGACGCGGAGGCGCGGCAGGAGGGGCGCUCGAGGCGAGGGCGCGCGGGAGGGGGAGGACNNNNNNNNNNNNNNNNNNNNNNNNNNNNNNNNNNNNNNNNNNNNNNNNNNNNNNNNNNNNNNNNNNNNNNNNNNNNNNNNNNNNNNNNNNNNNNNNNNNNNNNNNNNNNNNNNNNNNNNNNNNNNNNNNNNNNNNNNNNNNNNNNNNNNNNNNNNNNNNNNNNNNNNNNNNNNNNNNNNNNNNNNNGCGAGGGGAGGCCUGGGUCCUCCCCCUGAUGUUUUUUUUAAAACCCGAUUUUUUUUUCCUUUUUUUUAAAAAAAGAAAAGAAAAAAAAUAUAAACUCACAAGAAAAGGUUUUUAACAGAAAAACUAAAAUAAAGAAAAAUGUCUUUUAACUACUUAAAAACAUACCCCACUAUAAGAAAUAGUUUUGGGCAUUUUUAAACAAAUAAAAUGAAACCCUUUUAAGAAUUAAACUAAAACCUUUUUUAAAGAAUUUAAAAACAAUUCAAAACCCUUUUCUUAUUAAAGAAUAAAAUCAACCCCUUUUACAAAAGGUUAAAAUCAAACUCCUUUUGACAGGAGAACAAAAUACAACCUCUUUUCUUUAAAGAUUAAAAUAAAGCUCUUUAAAGAGGAAAAGAAAAUGAGACGGAUUUAAAUUAAACAAAAGGAGAAAAUAAAGAAAAUCCAAGGGUUGCCCCCACAUUUAAUAAAAGGACACUUUUAAAAGAAGACGAAUAUUUUAAAAGAGGGGUAAACUUAGAAAUCUUUAGCAAAACCACAAAACAACUUAGGAGGGGAGAGGAGGGUUUUAGGUGUGCGGUGCAACGGGGUUUAGCGGCUGCUCUAACACACCCUCUUUCAUCACUCCAACAAAACAACGCCACUUACGAAGCACUAACACCCAACAACAUGGAGCAACAAGCAACACCGACAAAACACAGAUGACAUGAUGCCAUGCAUGAUGCGAUGAUGCAAACUAAAUGACGAUGCAACCAACAAAAUAAAAUAGCCGCACGACGGAANNNNNNNNNNNNNNNNNNNNNNNNNNNNNNNNNNNNNNNNNNNNNNNNNNNNNNNNNNNNNNNNNNNNNNNNNNNNNNNNNNNNNNNNNNNNNNNNNNNNAUAGGAAGAAAAAUCAAAGAGAAAAAAAAGAGGAGGUGGGAAAAGGGGAAGGACUCCUCCUUCCAAACCUAGUUGGACUCGGUUUGGAAGGGGAGAUCUCCCCCCCUUGGCUCGGCCGAAGUCCUUAGGGGUCCUUGGACCCCAAGGCAAGGCUUCCUCUCUUCCCCCUAUAUAUACGGAGGUUUUAGGGCUGAUUUGAGACAACUUUGCCACGGCAGCCCGACCACAUAUCUCCACGGUUUUACCUCUAGAUCGCGUUUCUGCGGAGCUCGGGCGGAGCCCUGCUGAGACGAGGUCAUCACCAACCUCCGGAGCGCCUUCACGCUACCGGAGAACUCUUCUACCUCUCCAUCUCUCUUGCUGGAUCAAGAAGGCCGAGAUCAUCGUUGAGUUGUACGUGUGCUGAACGCAGAGGUGCCGUCCGUUCGGCAUUAGAUCGUGGGACUGAUCGCGGGACGGUUCGCGGGGCGGAUCGAGGGACGUGAGGACGUUCCACUACAUCAACCGCCUUCACUAACGCUUCUGUUGUACGGUCUACAAGGGUACGUAGAUCUCUCAUCCCCUCUCGUAGAUGGACAUCACCAUGAUAGGUCUUCGUGUGCGUAGGAAAAUUUGUGUUUCCCAUGCGACGUUCCCCAACAGUGGCAUCAUGAGCUAGGUUCAUGCGUAGAUGUCUUCUCGAGUAGAACACANNNNNNNNNNUCGGUGAUGUGCGUUUUUCUGCCCUCCUUAGUCUUUUCUUGAUUCCGCGGUAUUGUUGGAUCGAUGCGGCUCGGACCGACAUUACUCGUAUGCUUACGAGAGACUGGUUUCAUCGCUACGAGUAACUCCGUUGCUCAAAGAUGACUGGCAGGUGUCAGUUUCUCCAACUUUAGUUGAAUCGGAUUUGACCGAGGAGGUCUUUGGAUGAGGUUAAAUAGCAACUCAUAUAUCUCCGUUGUGGUGUUUGCGUAAGUAAGAUACAAUCCUACUAGAUACCCAUGGUCACCACGUAAAACAUGCAACAACAAAAUUAGAGGACGUCUAACUUGUUUUUGCAGGGUAUGCUUGUGAUGUGAUAUGGCCAAUGAUGUGAUCUGAUAUAUUGGAUGUAUGAGAUGAUCAUGUUGUAAUAGAUAAUAUCGACUUGCNNNNNNNNNNNNNNNNNNNNNNNNNNNNNNNNNNNNNNNNNNNNNNNNNNNNNNNNNNNNNNNNNNNNNNNNNNNNNNNNNNNNNNNNNNNNNNNNNNNNUCAUGAAUCAUAUAGAUGAUAUGAUUAGCAUAGGGAUGCUUACCACUGAAACUAUACUCAACUCACGUGAUGAUCGGACUUGAGCUAGUGUAAGUGGAUCAUGAACCACUCAAAUGACUAGAGAGAUGUACUUUUUGAGUGGGAGUUUAGCGAGUAAUUUGAUUAAGUUAAACUCUAAUUAUCUUGAACAUAGUCUAAGUCCACUUUGAAUAUAUUUGUGUUGUAGAUCAUGGCUCACGCGACAGUCACCCUGAAUUUUAAUACGUUCCUAGAGAAAGCUAAGUUGAAAGAUGGUGGAAGCAACUUUGUAGAUUGGGCUCGUAAUCUUAAGCUAAUCUUACAAGCUGGGAAGAAGGAUUAUGUCCUUAAUGCUGCGCUAGGAGAUGAACCACCCGCUACGGCUGAUCAGGAUGUUAAGAACGCUUGGUUAACACGUAAGGAGGACUACUCAGUAGUUCAAUGUGCAGUCUUGUAUGGCUUAGAACCGGGACUUCAACGUCGCUUUGAGCGUCAUGGAGCAUUUGAGAUGUUCCAGGAGUUGAAGUUUAUCUUUCAGAAGAACGCCCGGAUCGAGAGGUAUGAGACCUCCGAUAAAUUCUAUGCUUGCAAGAUGGAGGAGAACUCGUCUGUCAGUGAACAUGUGCUCAAAAUGUCUGGGUACUCAAACCGUCUAGCUGAGAUGGGUAUUGAACUCCCGCAAGAAGCUAUCACUGACAGAAUCCUUCAAUCACUGCCGCCAAGCUAUAAAAGCUUUGUGUUGAACUACAACAUGCAAGGGAUUAACAAGUCUCCCGGCGAGUUGUUUGCGAUGCUGAAAGUCGCAGAGUCUGANNNNNNNNNNNNNNNNNNNNNNNNNNNNNNNNNNNNNNNNNNNNNNNNNNNNNNNNNNNNNNNNNNNNNNNNNNNNNNNNNNNNNNNNNNNNNNNNNNNNCAAGUUUUAUUUAAGAUUAAAUAUUAACUAAUCAGAUUAAUUUAGUGGGGGACCCACGUGUCAUACUCUAAUUAUUCUAAUUAAUUAAUUUAACUAAUAUAUUUAUUUAACUAAUUUAUUAACUCAUUAAUUAAUUAUUAUAUCUAUUUAUUUAUUUAUUUAAUAAAAACAUUAUUUUUAUUUUAUAUAUUAACUAUCGCGUGGGGCCUUCCUGUCAUAGACAAUGGGUGCAUUGGCCCCACCGGUAAGUGGCCUAAGGCUAUUUUCUCUUUUUUUUACAGAUACAUAACCGUGCAAAUAUCGUAUUCCUCCAAAUAUCCGCAUACGCANNNNNNNNNNUUAUAUUAACUAUCGCGUGGGGCCUCCCUGUCAUAGACAGCGGGUGCAUUGGCCCCACCGGUAAGUGGCCUAAGGCUAUUUUCUCAUUUUUUUUACACAUACAUAACCGUGCAAAUAUCGUAUUCCUCCAAAUAUCCGCAUACGCAAAUACAUACAUAAAUACGGGUAUCAAAUACAUACAUACAUACAUACGGAAUACAACAUUUGUUUUUUUUUAUUUUCACUCAAAACUCUCAUCUCCAUGUGUGUCAACAGACAACAAAGAAACAACGCUCUGCUAACUCAACAUAGAAGAACCAAACGUUCAAUCCUUCCUACCGGAGUCUACCGUCGACGGAUCGGGGUCCCGUUUGCCGAAAUGGAACCGGGGCGGCGAGAAGAACGACAUGGUGGGAGGAGCCCGAGGAGGGGCUCACCGACGUUGACGGGAAGGGCCAGUGAAGCCAGAGUUCGCGGAAAGCGGCGGUGACGGCGAGGAGGAGGACGAGGCGGUGAUGAUGAUGCCNNNNNNNNNNUAAUUUUCACUCAAAACUCUCAUCUCCCUCCGUGUCAACACACAACAAAGAAACAACUCUGUGCUAACUCAACAUAGAAGAACCAAACGUUCAAUCCUUCCUACCGGAGUCUACCAUCGACGGAUCGGGGUCCCGUUUGCCGGAACGGAACCGGGGCGGCGAGGAGAACGACAUGGUGGGAGGCGCCCGAGGAGGGGCUCACCGACGUUGACGGGAGGGGCCGGUGAAGCCGGAGUUCACGGGAAGCGGCGGUGACGGCGAGGAGGAGGACGAGGCGGUGAUGAUGAUGCCGGUCACCGGAGAGGUCGUGCUGGCGACGGGGAGCCGGCCGGAUCCGGCGAGGCGAAGAAGUCUCCCUGCCCGGUCCCUCCUGGACCGAGCGGGAGGAAGGCCGACGGGGGCGGGGUUGUAGGCCGGCGAGGUGGAGGGCCGAGGUGGUCGGGGCCCCUGCCGGCGGGGUGGAGGCCGAGGGGGGNNNNNNNNNNAAGCGGGAGGAAGGCCGACGGGGGCGGGGUUGUAGGCCGACGAGGUGGAGGGCCGAGGUGGCCGGGGCCCCUGCCGGUGGGGUGGACGCCGAGGGGGGGCUCGCCGGCGGGAAGGAGGAGGCCGUGGGGGGCGGCUCGCCGGCGGGAAGGAGGAGGCCAAGGGGCUCGCCGGCCGGGAUUAGAGGGGCCGACGGGGGGGGAGGCCGAGGGAGAGGGCANNNNNNNNNNNNNNNNNNNNNNNNNNNNNNNNNNNNNNNNNNNNNNNNNNNNNNNNNNNNNNNNNNNNNNNNNNNNNNNNNNNNNNNNNNNNNNNNNNNNGCUUGCUUAACCCUGUUGUUAGCGUUGCUAGUUGCAGGUGCAGUUGCUUCCAUGUGAGGACAUGGGUUCCUUGUUAUAUCACCAUAUUAAAUGAUAUUUAAUUUAAUGCACCUAUAUACUUGGUAAAAGGUGGAAGGCUCGGCCUUUCUAGCCUGGUGUUUUGUUCCACCUUUGCCCCUUUUAGUUACCGUCUACCGGUGUUAUGUUCCAUAAAUGAGCGCUCCUAACACGAUCGGGGUCGUUAUGGGGACCCCCUUGAUAAUUCGUUUUAGAUUAAAGCUGGUUUGGCAAGGCCCAACAUUGGUACUACAUUUGCCUAAUCUCCUAAUAAAAUUGCAUAGGGACUUUCCGGACCCCGAGGAUAAUUUAAUCAACCCUCGGGCCAGUGCUCCUCAUGAGUGUUGGUCCAAAACAGAGCAGCUUAUUAACGCUACCCGGGCAACUCGGCGUGUGGCGUGGUAACCAUCGCUCAUCCGUUGUGUCCUGAGAACGAGGUACGCGACUCCUAUCGGGAUCGUCGACACGUCGGGCGGCCUUGCUGGAUUAGUUUUACCUUUGACGAAAUAUCUUGUGCAUCGGGAUUCCGGUGAUGCUUUGGGUAAUCUCAGAGUNNNNNNNNNNNNNNNNNNNNNNNNNNNNNNNNNNNNNNNNNNNNNNNNNNNNNNNNNNNNNNNNNNNNNNNNNNNNNNNNNNNNNNNNNNNNNNNNNNNNAUAUAAUAAUAACAAAUUUAUUAUUGCCUCUAGGGCAUAUUUCCAACACAAAUGAAUGAUCCUGAACACCUACCUACGUCAGACAUAACCCCACCGUGUCCUCGAUCGGAGAAGGAACUCACGAAAGAGACACUCACGGUUACGCACACAGUUGGCAUAUUUUAAUUAAGUUAACUUCAAGUUAUCUAGAACCAGUGUUAAACAAAGUUUCCACGUUGCCACAUAACCGCGGGCACGACUUUCCGAAAGAUUUAACCCUGCAGGGAUGCUCCAACUAGUCCAUCACAAAUUACCACAAGCCGCAUAGAAAUCCUCAAUCACGAAGCUCGCGAUCUCGUCGGAUUCCCUAGAGGAAAACCUCAACUCUGAGAUUACCCAAAGCAUCACCGGAAUCCCGAUGCACAAGAUAUCUC